rnacentral:misc_RNA from 1 species
GUCGGCGGUUCGAUCCCGCCUGGCUCCACCAAAUUCAUGAGUGGGAAGUGUCUAGCGAGAAGGCUAGCCACUUUGCAUUUGCGAAGUCUGCUCUUUAAAAAUUAGGUUAGAUCGCUGAUAGGUGAUAUCGAAAGAUAUCCUUAUCAAUUAAGUAUCUAAGUUUCUCAAGGCUUAGAUACUGGGUAUGUUGCAUUCGUAACCAUUGAUCGUA